rnacentral:tRNA from 1 species
GGUCACGUCGCCAAGUUGGUUAAGGCCGAGGUCUGCAAAACCUCUAUCGUGAGUUCGACUCUCACCGUGGCCUCCA